rnacentral:lncRNA from 10 species
AAAGCCUUUUCUGUAAACACAGCAAACUAGUUCUAAUUUUAUGCAAAAAGAGGCAACUAUAACCAAAAAGCUGAAGAGCCACAGAAAGUGAACUGCUUUUACUUAUUCAUUUGAGUUGUAUUUUACUAUAUUUUGUUUGCUAAUGACCACAUACAUUCUAAUCACAAUUGGAACUGUUUCAACCCACAACUUUUCACUCAUCUUCAGAAUGGAAGAUAUGAAGAGAACAUGAGUUUCCAGUUGACAAAGUCUGUGCUCAGCUCCUUCACUGAACAUUGCUCUGAGCCAACGCAUGUCAGCGAGAGGACGCGGUGACACCGGCCUGUGGUUGCACCCAGAAACAAACAAGUAGGGAGAGCAGCCCCAGUUCUCCAGAAUGACCUCUUUCCUCCGAAUCCCACUCCAGGAAGAGAGUCCAGCAGGGGCCCCUGAGCUUGGGGCUGGCCCUGUGCGCUGUCAGCAGAGACCCCUGUCCAUCAGCACUUUGCAUGGGUCUGUCCUGCUUCAGUGGGGAAUGUUCCUCAGCAAAAGAACUGAGUGCAAUGCAGGGAUGCCAUCGGAGUUGGCUGGGGACAGCCUGGCUUUGUCAUGUUAGGGGGCAUGGAGGGGCAUGCAGUGCUCAGGGUGGACACCACACACAAGGGUCACACUGAGCUCAGAGGAACAAAUCGCAGGGAGAGAAUGUGCCAAUGGUGCUUUCUCCAAGACACCUCUGACCUGGAACUGCAAACCACCGCUGAUUCCCCUGCCCAGCUCCUCUGUUAGAAUGACCCCGUGGGGCUGCAGAUGACUUAACAGCUAUAUUUAGCAAGUCAUGGGAGGGAUGGGCCAGUUCCAGCCAGCUAGCCUGCCUUCAGAGGCCCUAGAUUCCUUUGUCCUUCCCUUCUGCCUCCCCUCCUAGUUUUUCCCACUGGCUGGCUCUUAACCCCUUCAUGGCUUGAGGACUCCUCUCAAAUAUGGGCAAAGCAGAUAGAACGUAAGGGAGGCCACCCGAGUAUCCCAGCCCCCAAAUUUCUCACUCAGCUGCCUGGAACUCUGCUUUACGAACUCCCUUUCUUCAGUCCUGAACUUUUCUUUUUUUUCAUCAUUAAGUGUUUCCUAAUAAAAUUAUGCAAGUACCCUUGGG